rnacentral:rRNA from 1 species
UACGAAGGGUGCAAACGUUGCUCGGAAUUAUUGGGCGUAAAGCGCACGUAGGCGGCUUGGCAAGUCGGAUGUGAAAUACCCUCGGGCUCAACCCAAGGAAGUGCAUCCGAAACUGCGUGAGCUUGAGUACUUAAGAGGAGUCGCGGAAUUCCCGGUGUAGAGGUGAAAUUCGUAGAUAUCGGGAGGAACACCAGUGGCGAAGGCGGCGAUCUGGGGAAGAUACUGACGCUGAGGUGCGAAAGCGUGGGGAGCAAACAGG